rnacentral:lncRNA from 1 species
AUGGAUUGGAGGGUAUUUUGCCAUAAACAUUUUUUUUUGUUUUUGUUUUGUUUUGUUUUUCUUUUUAGGGCCACACCCCAGGCAUAUGGAGGUUCCCAGGCUAGGGGUAAAUUAGAGCUAGAGCUGCUGGCCUACACCACAGCCACAGCAAUGCAGGAUCUGAGCUGCGUCUGUGACCUACAUCACAGCUCACAGCAAAACCAGAUCCUUAAUCCACUGAGUAAGGCCAGGGAUCGAACUGACAACCUCAUGGUUCCUAGUUGGAUUCGUUUCUGCUGCACCAUGAUGGGAACUCCUUUUUUCCUGGUUUUCUCCUUUCAUCAUAAAGAUGUCAUUAUUCUGUCUCUAACUCACUUGUCAUUUUUUUUUUCCAGAGAAAAACUUGGCUUUCAUUUCUUGCUCCUUAACAGCCACGGGGCCUCUGAACAUCAGGUGCUUCUUCACAAACGUCAUCAGCUCAUCCAUCUUUCUAGAAAGGAGACAAAUACAAAGCUUUGAAGACCAAAACUCAACAUAUAAUGUCAUAUUAUUUAUACUUCUGACAGUUCCAAUUUUUGUCUUAUUCUUUCUUAUCACCCACACUCUUCUUUGGCUUCUUGCCUUGAACUUUUCCCUCUACUAUGUCACUACUUAGCACCAUCUCCAAUAUCUCUACCUUCCCUUCUACCCAAAUUUUUCUGCAUAGUUAUUAAUAACAUUUUUUUUAUUUUCCCACUGUACAGCAAGGGGAUCAAGUUAUCAUGACAUGUAUACAUUACAAUUACAUUUUUUCCCCCACCCUUUCUUCUGUUGCAACAUGAGUAUCCAGACAAAGUUCUCAACGCUACUCAGCAGGAUCUCCUUGUAAAUCUAUUCUAAGUUGUGUCUGAUAAGCCCAAACUCCCGAUCCCUCCCACUCCCUCCCCCUCCCAUCAGGCAGCCACAAGUCUCUUCUCCAAGUCCAUGAUUUUCUUUUCUGAGGAGAUGUUCAUUUGUGCUGGAUAUUAGAUUCCAGUUAUAAGUGAUAUCAUAUGGUAUUUGUCUUUGUCU